rnacentral:rRNA from 1 species
AACCGACGAUUUCCGAAUGGGGAAACCCAGUGCAAUUCGUUGCACUAUCGUUUGAUGAAUACAUAGUCAAACGAAGCGAACCGGGGGAACUGAAACAUCUCAGUACCCCGAGGAAAAGAAAUCAACCGAGAUUCCCCUAGUAGCGGCGAGCGAACGGGGAGCAGCCCAGAGUCUUAAUCAGCAUUAGCAUCAGGAGAACGGUCUGGAAAGUCCGGCAGUAAAGGGUGAUAGCCCCGUAUCCGAAGGUGUUAGUGUUGUGAACUCGACGAGUAGGGCGGGACACGUGUUAUCCUGUCUGAAUAUGGGGGGACCAUCCUCCAAGGCUAAAUACUCCUGAUUGACCGAUAGUGAACCAGUACCGUGAGGGAAAGGCGAAAAGAACCCCGGCGAGGGGAGUGAAAUAGAACCUGAAACCGUGUACGUACAAGCAGUGGGAGCCUUGAUUUAUCAGGGUGACUGCGUACCUUUUGUAUAAUGGGUCAGCGACUUAUAUUCUGUAGCAAGGUUAACCGUAUAGGGGAGCCGUAGGGAAACCGAGUCUUAACUGGGCGAAUGAGUUGCAGGGUAUAGACCCGAAACCCGGUGAUCUAGCCAUGGGCAGGUUGAAGGUUGGGUAACACUAACUGGAGGACCGAACCGACUAAUGUUGAAAAAUUAGCGGAUGACUUGUGGCUGGGGGUGAAAGGCCAAUCAAACCGGGAGAUAGCUGGUUCUCCCCGAAAGCUAUUUAGGUAGCGCCUCGUGAACUCAUCUUCGGGGGUAGAGCACUGUUUCGACUAGGGGGUCAUCCCGACUUACCAACUCGAUGCAAACUACGAAUACCGAAGAAUGUUAUCACGGGAGACACACGGCGGGUGCUAACGUUCGUCGUGAAGAGGGAAACAACCCAGACCGCCAGCUAAGGUCCCAAAGUCAUAGUUAAGUGGGAAACGAAGUGGGAAGGCUCAGACAGCCAGGAUGUUGGCUUAGAAGCAGCCAUCAUUUAAAGAAAGCGUAAUAGCUCACUGGUCGAGUCGGCCUGCGCGGAAGAUGUAACGGGGCUAAACUAUGCACCGAAGCUGCGGCAGCGAUAU